CAUCGAUGAAGAACGCAGCGAAAUGCGAUAAGUAAUGUGAAUUGCAGAAUUCAGUGAAUCAUCGAAUCUUUGAACGCAACUUGCGCUCUCUGGUAUUCCGGAGAGCAUGCCUGUUUGAGUGUCAUGAAAUCUCAACCAUUAGGGUUUCUUAAUGGCUUGGAUUUGGAGGUUGCCAUUCUAAAUGGCUCCUCUUAAAGGAGUUAGCAAGUUUUACUAUUGCUAUCUGGCGUAAUAAGUUUCGCUGGAAUGGUAUUGUGAAGCGUGCUUCUAAUCGUCUUCGGACAAUUACUUUGACUCUGGCCUCAAAUCAGGUAGGACUACCCGCUGAACUUAAGCAUAUCAAUAAGCGGAGGAA
rnacentral:rRNA from 1 species